rnacentral:rRNA from 1 species
UCCGGUUGAUCCUGCCGGAGGUUACUGCUAUCCGAAUCCGGCUAAGACAUGCGAGUCGUUGCCGCAAGGCAAGGCGAACUGCUCAGUUACACGUAGUCAACCUGCCCUUAGAACAGGGAUAAUCCCGCGAAAGUGGGGCUAAUAUCUGAUCGUCGGCUAUACCUGGAAUGGUUUGGCGAUUAAAGCUUCGGUGUCUAAGGAUGGGACUGCGGCCGAUCAGGCUGUUGUGAGGGUAAUGUCCUCACAAACCUAUAACCGGUAGGGGCCAUGAAAGUGGGAGCCCCGAGAUGGAUUCUGAGACAUAAAUCCAGGUCCUACGGGACGCAGCAGUUACGGAAACUCCACAAUGCGCGCAAGCGUGAUGGGGGGAUUCGGAGUGUUGCAGCUUUUAGCUGCAACUUUUGCCGAGGUUAGUGCCCUCGGAGAAUAAGUGGUGGGUAAGACGGGUGCCAGCCGCCGCGGUAAUACCCGCGCCACGAGUGGUAAUCGCGAUUAUUGGGCCUAAAGAGUUCGUAGCCGGUUUGGGAAGUCCCUAGUGAAAUCUGGCAGUUGACUGUCAGGCGUGCUGGGGAUACUUCCAAACUUGGGACCGGGAAAGGGUACGAGUACUUUCGGGGUAGGGGUAAAAUCCUGUAAUCCUGAAAGGACUACCAGUGGCGAAGGCGCGUACCUAGAACGGGUUCGACGGUGAUGGACGAAAGCUAGGGGAGCAAACUGUUUGAAGGAAUUUAACCUAUGCGGUACAUAAUUUAGUUAUGGGUACUGUAGGGAUUAGAGAAAUUCUGAAGCUGGUGCCAUUCCUUUUAUCUGACGGAGGUGUAUCUCCGAAGGGUAAAAACGGAUGGACCAUAUACUUGAGAAACAACGAUCUGGAAAUAAUUAAUGAAUUCAGAUCAAAUGUGGAAAAGGCUAUUAACAGAAAACCGAGUCUGAUAAAAAGAAAGGACGGGACAUUCAUGGUAAGAAUUGAUUCCGUUGAAUUCGGUAAUUUGUUGCUUAAUUUUUCUCCUACCUACAGAACGAGUAAACGAAACAGAUAUCCUGCAUGCCCAGGAACUUAUGGCGGCAGAUGUGUCUGCAAGACUUGUGAAACGAAAGAAGAGAACACGCCCGCAAAAAUACCGGAAGAGAUAUUCGCUGAUAUGAAAUUAGCAAAAUAUUUUCUGAAAGUAUAUGCAAGUUGCGAUGGUGGUGUAUCUGUUACAGUAACUAAAAAAGAAAAAUACAAGUUUCUUGUAAGAAAAG